AGUGUUUUUACUUUAGCUGCAAUGAAUAUUAUUAAGUAUUUAGGUAUCAUACAUUCGAUGUCAUAUAGAACGGUUCUCAAUUGAAAAUCAACGUUCUGUUAACAACAACUUACGAAGAACCAUAUUCAAGUUUUUGGAAAGAACGAAAAAAAUGUUAUCAACAUUAAAUCACAAAAAAAAACUAAUAAAUUAAUCGAAAAUGUCAUAAGCCUAUGAGUAUACUCAACCAGAGUAAAAAUAUUUUAAAAAUUGUAUAAUAGGCACAUCAAAAGACCCCUCAAAAUAUCAACAAGAUUCACUUCCCUGCCAGAAAAGAUGCAGUGGAAGAAAAUCGAAGUACUUUUACUGCCCUAAAAGGUCGUAAUUACUUUAUGGUUUAUGUCCACGACUAUAUUCUGCAAUGUUUUAUGAAACCGUCAAAUAAAAUCUGUGAAGUUGGAAGAAGAUCCAGUAUUGAUUGAUGUAAUCCAUAUAAAUACUGUUUGACUCGGUGUAUAAAAUACUGGGAAAACACACAUGCAAAAUUUACGUUAUCUAAACACAUAUAAUUUCAACGAAAUGUUAAGGAAAU